GAUGUAGUUUGUGAAUCUGUAUAAACAGCUACAAAUCCAGAAUGGGACAGGGGAGUAUAUAAAUCCUUGAUUGGCCUGACUGAUUUUUCCAUUCUUCUUACAUAAGAAGUGUGUGUGUACUUCUGUGCAAUGCUUGGGACAUAAUUUAUGUAUUGCAAUAAAAAACAAGUAUAUGUGUGCAUAAUUGGAAGGGACAAUAAAGAAAAGCAGUUGAUGAAAUUGAAUUAUGCAUAAUAAAGCUGUAUUUUUUCAGGGAAGGCUGUAGUCAUCAGGAGAGAAAGUGAAGCUUGUUUGUUUUGUUAAUGUUGUGAGAGACCUGGGAUGGGACUACAGUCUUGUAAGACUUUGUAUUUUUAUGUCUCAUUGUAUUACCCCACAGGGUAUGGGCAAGACCAGGUGAGCAAACCAGCAUUUUGGAACCUGAGGUGUAGGAUAAACUGCAAUCCACCCUUUUGGGGACUGUUCAGGAAGCUUACAAGACAAUGCUGCCCAACAGAACCAGCUGGGUCCUGCCUGUCACUGCUGACAGCUUUUAGGGAUGAGAAUGUUGUGUCUGACGCGUGUCAGCGAGCAGAGGAGAUUCACGAGCAGAGCUGGGCUCGUCUUGCUCCCCGGUGAGGAAUAAAAGCAUUGCCCGUCUCUCACCUCGGGAGGAGGAGGAGGGGCUGCGGGGAGUGAGAAGGCAUUGUCAGGUCCGGGUCAGGCUGGAGCAUCACGGAUUAGCCGGGUGUCACUCGGCAGCCUGGAGGCAGCGCUGAGAAAGCCGGAGACAGAAAUGUGCGUGCAGGGCUGGGGGCGAGGGCUGCCAGGGCUUGUCUGGUGCAGGGCUGCUCUCCACGUUUAUGAUCUUUUGGGAAAGCAGUCAGGAAAAGGGACUGAAUAAAGAGCCCCUUAUCAAGGAAGCAGAGAAAAUGGCCACUUCUACGGCCCUGUAUUCGACCUGUAAAUGAUGCUGUUGUUAGAGCUGUUAAAAACUUUGAUUAACGAGAGUUGUGUCCACAUUUAAUCCCAGUCUGGUACCUGCAGGUCUGGUCUUGCACUUAGGGAAGCUGCUGUCAGUGGAGCCACCAAAUUGAAAAUGUGCUGCUGGUGGGAAGAUUCUUCAUUCUGUUUACUUUUUCAUGGUUGCAUCUGUUUUCUGCUUUGAAGUCCAUAAGAUUAUUUCAAUAUUUAGUGAAUUUUUAAUUUAUUUAACUUCUUGUGAAGCAGACGAAGCAGUGAGGGGGAAAAUAUGAGGGAAAGGGCUGAAUUUAGUGUCACUUGGGCCACAUACACAACCUCUGACCACAGGGUGUAAAGGUGUAAUUUCCAUUCAUAAAAGCACAAUGUAUUGACCCAUCACUUCCAAAUUUCAGUCAGAUCUCAUGUGUAACUGCAGAGUGCAGCUCACUUAAAACAGGACACAUGAUGUUAACAAAAUUGGAAUGUUUUUAAAAAAUUAUUUCUCAAUACCAUUAGUCUUUUCCAUGUAUGACUGAGGAGUGUUUUGUUUACUUCCAAUCCAAUCAGUUUCACAGUACAACAGUAUCAAUUUCCAGUACAGUUAAAUUUAUUCCAGGAUGGUCCAGUGAAAUGGUCUGACAUGCUUUCAGCUAAAUGACAAUUUGAUGGGAUGUGAAAACCACAGGAGCCAGGAAGAAGGUAAUAGUCUGUGAGUGGGCCUUAUCUGUCUUGCUACAAGGGCAUGGCUUCAAGGGGAACAAAACAACACAGGAACCUAAAACAAGCAGGGCCUGGGCUGGGCUUCACAGGGGAGCAGAGGUUUCUGCUCUGGUUGCCAGUGACUCUUUUAGAUCAAUGUUUGUAAUUUUGCUACUUUGUACAGUGUGGAAGGAACAAAAAAGAAUCCUUCACUAAAGGAGGAAAUGAUGUGUGUGAAUGGGGAGCCUUAUGUCUCUGAAAAAAAUAAUAAUAAAAUCUACACCCUCAGUUUUGUAAGGAAACAAUCUCAGAACUAAAGUUACUGACAGAGCAGCCCACAGGAUGAACUGGAAACAGGAGGUUGAUGCUCAGCCUUAGGACUGCAGUGAGUGUCACUGGGAUGUCAGCACUUCACUGCAGAGAUGUCUCAUGCAGAGCAGAGGUUUAUUCUCCAAUCACCCUUUUAGGCACUGGAUCACUUGUCUGUGCACAGGCUGUGGCUGCUUUUCACCUUGGCUCUUUCCAAAUGUACAGCAACUCUUGUAUGGUGAUUACAACCUCAGUAGUGCUACUCACUCAGAAUCACCAGCAACUAUGAUCUAAUAAAAACUUUAUUCUCUGUAAAAUGCAUUUUAAAUAAACAGCAAUCUUGUGACUCUGA